CCUACGGGAGUCACAAGUGGGGAAUAUUGGGCAAUGGACGCAAGUCUGACCCAGCAACGCCGCGUGAAGGAAGAAGGCUUUCGGGUUGUAAACUUCUUUUAAGGGGGAAGAACAGACGACGGUACCCCUUGAAUAAGCCACGGCUAACUACGUGCCAGCAGCCGCCGUAAUACGUAGGUGGCAAUCGUUGUCCGGAUUUACUGGGUGUAAAGGCCGUGCAGCCGGGAAGACAAGUCUGAUGUGACAUCCCGCGGCUCAACCGCGGAACUGCAUUGGAAACUGUUGUUAUUGAGUAUCGGAGAGGUAAUCGGAAUUCCUAGUGUAGCGGUGAAAUGCGUAGAUAGUAGGAAGAACACCAGUGGCGAAGGCGGAUUACUGGACGACAACUGAUGGUGAGGCGCGAAAGCGUGGGGAGCAAACAGGAUUAGAUACCCUUGUAGUC
rnacentral:rRNA from 1 species